CGUAGGUGGUUCUGUGUGUCUACUGUGAAAGCGUACAGCUCAACUGUAUUGUGUCGGUAGAAACUGCAGGACUUGAGGCUGGGAGGGGCUGGUGGAAUUCCCUGUGUAGCGGUGAAAUGCGUAGAGAUGGGGGAGAACACUCGUGGCGAAGGCGGCCAGCUAGACCAGUUCUGACACUGAGGCGCGACAGCGUGGGGAGCAAACA
rnacentral:rRNA from 1 species